AGUGAACGCUGGCGGUAGGCCUAACACAUGCAAGUCGAACGGCAGCACAGGAGAGCUUGCUCUCUGGGUGGCGAGUGGCGGACGGGUGAGGAAUACAUCGGAAUCUACUUUUUCGUGGGGGAUAACGUAGGGAAACUUACGCUAAUACCGCAUACGACCUACGGGUGAAAGCAGGGGACCUUCGGGCCUUGCGCGAUUGAAUGAGCCGAUGUCGGAUGAGCUAGUUGGCGGGGUAAUGGCCCACCAAGGCGACGAUCCGUAGCUGGUCUGAGGGGAUGAUCAGCCACACUGGAACUGAGACACGGUCCAGACUCCUACGGGAGGCAGCAGUGGGGAAUAUUGGACAAUGGGCGCAAGCCUGAUCCAGCCAUACCGCGUGGGUGAAGAAGGCCUUCGGGUUGUAAAGCCCUUUUGUUGGGAAAGAAAUCCAGCUGGCUAAUACCCGGUUGGGAUGACGGUACCCAAAGAAUAAGCACCGGCUAACUUCGUGCCAGCAGCCGCGGUAA
rnacentral:rRNA from 1 species